rnacentral:sRNA from 1 species
GUCUCUCGGACGACCCACUCCUCCUCCCUAGGGGCGUCCGAUGGAACGGUGGCACUCCUCCUCCCAGCCGCUGUUCACUCUUUUAAAAAGCCUGCCGCACCUCCUCCCGCGGCAGGCUUUUUUG